AAGAAGGAGGAGGAGAGUUCGGAGGCACAAUGAUGACGAGAUGCUGGCACAACGGUGAUGCGUUCGUUGUGUAGUGGAGGCGCGUCAGUGGUUUGACAGAGAUGCAACGGUAUCAUGGUGGGGGUGGUUGAGGAGAAAGAUAAAAGGAAGAAGAGAAAAGAAAGAAUGAGAGAAUGAGGUGGAAAAUCAGAAGGAAGAGAAGGAGAUGGUGUAAGCAAUUCUUUAAUUUUUCAAUUGAAUGAAAAUUAACUCAACAGGAUCUUGAAUUUUCAUGAUACUCACAAUUCCCACAUACACAGUAAAGNUGUAAGCAAUUCUUUAAUUUUUCAAUUGAAUGAAAAUUAACUCAACAGGAUCUUGAAUUUUCAUGAUACUCACAAUUCCCACAUACACAGUAAAGGAGAACUAACNUGGAUCCAUUGUGCACUUCNUCCUGUCAAAAGUUCUCUCUCCUCUUACUCCUCUUUAAUGCCUUCUUGAUGAUAUAGAAGUUGCCAAGGAAAGUUUUCUCUGUCAAAGUCACAGUUUCUAUGUCUUUCCUGAGAACGAUACG
rnacentral:lncRNA from 1 species